rnacentral:rRNA from 1 species
UACAGAGGGGGCAAGCGUUGUUCGGAAUUACUGGGCGUAAAGGGCGCGUAGGCGGCCUGCUAAGUCGAACGUGAAAUCCCCGGGCUCAACCCGGGAACUGCGUCCGAUACUGGCAGGCUUGAAUCCGGGAGAGGGAUGUGGAAUUCCAGGUGUAGCGGUGAAAUGACGUAGAUAUCUGGAGGAACACCGGUGGCGAAGGCGGCAUCCUGGACCAAUACUGACGCUGAGGAGCGAAAGCUAGGGGAGCAAACGGG